UACGUAGGGUGCAAGCGUUGUCCGGAAUUAUUGGGCGUAAAGAGCUCGUAGGCGGUCUGUUGCGUCGGCUGUGAAAACCCGGGGCUCAACUCCGGGCCUGCAGCCGAUACGGGCAGGCUUGAGUUCGGUAGGGGAGACUGGAAUUCCUGGUGUAGCGGUGAAAUGCGCAGAUAUCAGGAGGAACACCGGUGGCGAAGGCGGGUCUCUGGGCCGAUACUGACGCUGAGGAGCGAAAGCGUGGGGAGCGAACAGG
rnacentral:rRNA from 1 species